rnacentral:rRNA from 1 species
GAGUUUGAUCCUGGCUCAGGACGAACGCUGGCGGCGUGCUUAACACAUGCAAGUCGAACGGAGCUAUUUAUUUCGGUAGAUAGCUUAGUGGCAAACGGGUGAGUAACGCGUAGGCAACCUGCCCUCAGGAUGGGGACAACGGCUCGAAAGAGCCGCUAAUACCGAAUGACGUAACUCUUCCACAUGGAAGAGAUACUAAAGAUGGGUCAAACCAUCGCCUAAGGAUGGGCCUGCGCCUGAUUAGCCAGUUGGUGAGGUAACGGCUCACCAAAGCGACGAUCAGUAGCCGGUCUGAGAGGAUGAACGGCCACAAUGGGACUGAGACACGGCCCAUACUCCUACGGGAGGCAGCAGUGGGGAAUCUUCCGCAAUGGGCGAAAGCCUGACGGAGCAACGCCGCGUGAGUGAAGAAGGUCUUCGGAUCGUAAAGCUCUGUUGUCGGGGACGAAAGAGUAGACGAGGAAAUGCGUCUACUAAGACGGUACCUGACGAGGAAGCCACGGCUAACUACGUGCCAGCAGCCGCGGUAAUACGUAGGCGGCAAGCGUUGUCCGGAAUUAUUGGGCGUAAAGGGAGCGCAGGUGGGACGGUAAGCCCGUCUUAAAAGGCAGGGGCUCAGCCCCUGUAAGGGAUGGAAACUAUCGAUCUUGAGUGCCGGAGAGGAAAGCGGAAUUCCCAGUGUAGCGGUGAAAUGCGUAGAUAUUGGGAAGAACACCAGUGGCGAAGGCGGCUUUCUGGACGGCAACUGACACUGAGGCUCGAAAGCCAGGGGAGCGAACGGGAUUAGAUACCCCGGUAGUCCUGGCCGUAAACGAUGGAUACUAGGUGUAGGAGGUAUCGACCCCUCCUGUGCCGGAGUUAACGCAAUAAGUAUCCCGCCUGGGGAGUACGGUCGCAAGACUGAAACUCAAAGGAAUUGACGGGGGCCC